CUGACUUUGUGCUUUGCUCCCAUCUGUAAUGACUCUGAAUUUAUGUUUUUUGUAUCAUGUCUUGUUGUGUCUUUGUUUUGAUUUUCCAUGCCCCUCUGUGUCCUUUAAGUUUCUAUGUUCUCCCCUCUGUCUGUUGUAUUGUUCCCUUCACGUUUUCUCAUGUGCUCCUCCCCCUCAUUACCACACCUGGCCUCCUCCCUCCUCACCUGUUCCUCGUCUGUUCAUCAGCGUCUGUGUUUUUAGUCUGUGUCUUCCCUUCACUCCUUGUCCGAUCAUUGUAUUCUGUCUGUCUCUGUCUGCGUCAGCCUCCGGUCAUGCGCCUGCUCCUGUUCAUGUCAUGUCCUCCCAGUCUCCCCAUGGACUAACCACAAACACAGAUGAAUAUGGAAUACAUUGCAGUCCUGCACCGGCAUACUUUGGUUUUAAGCAUAUGACUGCUCACUUUAAAGCCAGGAAGGCCGCAGAGCCCAUCUCUGUCCUCCUCGCAUCCAAAUUUAAUGUGGCGGCCUGA
rnacentral:lncRNA from 1 species